rnacentral:rRNA from 1 species
AAGGAUCAUUAUUGAAUUAUGUUUCUGGAUGGGUUGUAGCUGGCUCUUUGGAGCAUGUGCACGCCUGUUUGGACUUCAUCUUCAUCCACCUGUGCACCUAUUGUAGUCUUUGGUUGGGUAGCGAGGAAGUGGUCAGCCUAUCAGCAACUGCUGGAUGUGAGGGCUUGCAAUUGCGAAAGCUUUGCUGUCCUCUACAUGGCCACCNAGUNGUUUUCUUGCCAGAGUCUAUGUUAUUUCAUUAUACCCUGUCGAAUGUCAUUGAAUGUCUUUACAUGGGCUUGCAUGCCUAUGAAAAUUGUAAUACAACUUUCAGCAACGGAUCUCUUGGCUCUCGCAUCGAUGAAGAACGCAGCGAAAUGCGAUAAGUAAUGUGAAUUGCAGAAUUCAGUGAAUCAUCGAAUCUUUGAACGCACCUUGCGCUCCUUGGUAUUCCGAGGAGCAUGCCUGUUUGAGUGUCAUUAAAUUCUCAACUCUCCUGUGCUGUUUUGCAGAGGGGAGCUUGGAUCAUGGAGGCUUGCUGGCCACUUAUUGGAGGUCAGCUCCUCUGAAAUGCAUUAGCGGAACCGUUUGCGAUCUGCCACAAGUGUGAUAAAUUAUCUGCACUGGCGAGGGGAUUGCUCUCUGUGCUGUUCGGCUUCUAAUUGUCUCAAUCUGANGAGACAACUUCCUGAAUGCUUGACCUCAAAUCAGGUAGGACUACCCGCUGAACUUAA